GUGCUUGGAGCACCUCUCCGGGGCCGGCAAGGCCAUCGGAGUGCUGACCAGCGGCGGGGAUGCCCAAGGUAUGAACGCCGCCGUCCGAGCUGUGGUGCGCAUGGGAAUAUACGUGGGGGCCAAAGUGUACUUUAUCUAUGAGAGAUAGAGACAGCCAGCGAGAGAGGGAACACAAGCAGGGGGAGUGGGAGAGGAA